rnacentral:rRNA from 1 species
AACGAACGCUGGCGGCAUGCCUAACACAUGCAAGUCGAACGAACCCUUCGGGGUUAGUGGCGCACGGGUGCGUAACGCGUGGGAAUCUGCCCUUGGCUUCGGAAUAACAGUUAGAAAUGACUGCUAAUACCGGAUGAUGUCUUCGGACCAAAGAUUUAUCGGCCAGGGAUGAGCCCGCGUAGGAUUAGGUAGUUGGUGGCGUAAAGGCCUACCAAGCUGACGAUCCUUAGCUGGUCUGAGAGGAUGAUCAGCCACACGUGGACUGAGACACGGCCCAGACUCCUACGGGAGGCAGCAGUGGGGAAUAUGGGACAAUGGGCGCGGGCCUGAUCCAGCAAUGCCGCGUGAGUGAUGAAGGCCUUAGGGUCGUAAAGCUCUUUUACCCGGGAUGAUAAUGACAGUACCGGGAGAAUAAGCCCCGGCUAACUCCGUGCCAGCCGCCGCAGUAACAC